rnacentral:rRNA from 1 species
UNUGGUCUGUCACUGACGCUGAGGCUCGAAAGCGUGGGUAGCGAACAGGAUUAGAUACCNUGGUAGUCCACGCCGUAAACGAUGAGUGCUAGGUGUUAGGCCCUUUCCGGGGCUUAGUGCCGGAGCUAACGCAAUAAGCACUCCGCCUGGGGAGUACGACCGCAAGGUUGAAACUCAAAGGAAUUGACGGGGGCCCGCACAAGCGGUGGAGCAUGUGGUUUAAUUCGAAGCAACGCGAAGAACCUUACCAGGUCUUGACAUCCCGAUGCUAUUCUUAGAGAUAGGAAGUUACUUCGGUACAUCGGAGACAGGUGGUGCAUGGUUGUCGUCAGCUCGUGUCGUGAGAUGUUGGGUUANNNNNNNNNNNCGAGCGCAACCCUUAUUGUUAGUUGCCAUCAUUAAGUUGGGCACUCUAGCGAGACUGCCGGUAAUAAACCGGAGGAAGGUGGGGAUGACGUCAAAUCAUCAUGCCCCUUAUGACCUGGGCUACACACGUGCUACAAUGGUCGGUACAACGAGUUGCGAGCCGGUGACGGCAAGCUAAUCUCUGAAAGCCGAUCUCAGUUCGGAUUGGAGGCUGCAACUCGCCUCCAUGAAGUCGGAAUCGCUAGUAAUCGCGGAUCAGCACGCCGCGGUGAAUACGUUCCCGGGCCUUG